CAUCUGUGAAAUGGGGAUUAAGACUGUGAGCCCCACGUGGGACACCAUCACACGAUCACGGAUACAACGGGGCUCGGAUGGGGUUUGUCGGAUGGGGCCGGGGCCAAAGAAUGAGAAGGUUUGGAGUCUCAGGAACUGGGCUGGGGAGAAAGGACUUUUCCACUCCGAGGGAAGUCGGUUGUGGUAGGGUGACAGGAGCCUGGGUGGGGCUGGUGAGCAGAGCGGAGCUGGUUCGGGGGACUUGAAGUCCAUCCAAAAGACAGGUUAUCUGCUGGUGGCACCUUUGUCCCCUCCUUGCUGCUAUAACCACUGUUCCACUAAACCUGAGGUGCCCUGGGAGUCCUGGGUCUGGCUUCCUCUGCCACAUGGGUGGCCAUCAGUGACUCAGGCAGCAUUUUCAUCCUCCCAGGAGGGCCAUGUUCUUGGCAGUAGGAGUGGCCAAACAGAGGCAGAGUCCCAGCACUGCCCCAAGGGGAAGCUGGCCCUCCUCUCCAAGGGCCUCACCUUUCCCCUGCCUUGAAUGGGUCAGUUGCAUAAUAUGAAUUAUCCCUGCAAAGUUAGAAUGAAAUAGCCAAGCAAAAGGUAGCUGCUUUGGGAAAUCUAUCCUCCAACUGGAUUCUUCCCCUCACAUCAGCAGGAUGCUAACCAAAUUCCCUCAUAGUCCAGGAGGGGAGAAAACCCCUUUGCUCUCCUGCUCCCCUGGAUUCUGUUUAGGAGAGAGUUACUUGCAGACUCCUCUGGGUCAUGCAUCUGGUAUGAAAAGCAUCAGCAAUAGCAGGGUUAGGUGUGGCACCAGAGGCGCGGCUCAGUGAAUGGGCAUUGCUGCUCUGGCAGUUGCCUCCCCUCUACAGGGCUGCUCUCCAAGCAGACCAGCUAUCUCUCUGGGGAUUGUGGGAAGGCAAUAUCUGACUCUUCACAUGGGAUGCUGAUGAGUUUUCUCUGUUCUCUUUCUGUCUCUUUCGGAUUCACCUUGGAUUUGUGAUCUACUGACUGUUAUGGACUUCUUCCCUUCACCAUUCCAGCAACCAUGAUGCUGCAACAGCAACAGGGUCUUUGACUCUCUAGUGCUCCCGUUCCCUGCCCUUUGACCAACACAGAACAAGGGAUCGGUGACACUUCGGCUGUGUUCUCUUCUGUGGGGACCAUUUACUGACCUGAAAGGCUACGCAGGUAUAUAUGUCAUCUCUCAUUACACUCACAUCCAUCUGGCUCCAUCACGUUGUUAGGGAAUCCCAGCUGAACUGUUGCUAGGAAAUACAUUUUUAGAAUUUUACCCGAUUGACCGAAUUUCAACCAGCGCCCCCCAAAAUAUCCCAAAUUCAUUUUUUUUCAAUUUUUGCUAUUUUCCCUAACACUAUCUGUGUCAAAACUGACAGAAACCAAUUGAGGAAUGCUUUCCAAUCCUGCCCCAAUUAAGCAAAGUCUGUUUAGCCUAUGUGUGUGAUGAAGCUCCUAUCACUGAUGCAACACUGUCAUUGAUAGAAU